GCCAUUGUGGCGUCCUGUCUUUCCGAUGUGACACUCUUAUCUUGCUUGACAACAUUGCUGGAACUUUCAGCUGCUAGGUCUGUUAAUCAGUCCAAUCUUUCUAAUCUUGUUCACAUCAUGCACUGAUAUAAUCUUGUGUUGUUAACUUGUUGGUCAUUUCCCUAGAGAAUGCUUGUACUGCAUACAGUUUUGUUAGGUUUUUGAAGAUGGAGCUGGGCUCGUUCCAUGAUAGAAUCAGAUGCAAACGUAGGUUACCUUGAAUUACCUCCCGGGUCGUGCUGGCUUAUUGUCCCGCUCCCACUCCCGGGUCAGAUGAUUUGGAUAAAGUUUGGAGAACUCAAAAUUUUCAAUAUUUUUGAGGUUGAUAAAUUGGGUGAAAGACACAUACCCAAGUAGAGGUUAUCAAUCCGAGCUCCUUCCGGAGGUAGAGGCUUGCACUCGCACAUUUCAGGACAAUGAGCGGUACAAGUCUGACAGUCGGUACUUCCGAGUGUGGAAAAGCUGAUCGACAAGUGCGCUCCCAGUGGCUUGUUUAAGAACUGCCUUGGAGACGGACUGCAGAAGAAACUCAGUGUUGCAGCUCGCAUGCGCGUCGAAUCUCCAUCGCCGCGCUUUGCGCGCGCUGCUCCUCUCUCUUACCUUUUGUCUUAGCCGUUCCGUGUCGUCUUUGGUGGCCGCUCGCGUCUGCUGUGGCUCUCCUCCUCUGCAUGCGGUGAUACCGCGUGGUUAGGGUUUGACAUCGGAUCAACCGUCGCUGACGAGAACUCCUCCUGUGCGCCGUUGUUGAUAACUCCGCCUCUGUGCUGCUGUCGAGAACUCCGCCUGGGCGCCUGCCUCGCGGGAUUCCUGAACCGACAAAGUUUGGUGAUCGUGUUAUGGACCGCCGUAUGCAGGAGGUGAGCUGCGAAGUUAGCUGUAUGCGGAAUGCGGAAGUGUGAGUGAGUGCAUGUGUUGGGAGGGCUGUUUUACUAAAUCGACUUUGGUCCGGUUCAGUCUAGUAGAAGAUCACUGCUUCCGAAUGAUGUUCCUCCAAACAUGAAGGACAUCAAACACAGAUGCUGGAGUGUUGAUCCCGCAGAGAGACCAUCGUUUGCUCAAAUUGUACCUCCUCUGAAAGAAAGUUACGUCUCAUCAUGCAUAAGCAAAGUCUAGCUAGUUACACAUAAAAGAGAGGUUAUUGAUUGUGAAGUUUAAUCUGUUUGAUGGAUUAUUCUAAUUUGGAUUGAAGUUUAGUCCGAUUAAUGUUAUUGUUGUAGCCCGGGUUGAAUGUCAUGUCAUGAUAGUGAAGUCAAAUAAUUAUGUUGAGUCCAAAUUAAUGUGUCCAUGUACAUUUUCUUGAUAAUGAUUUGAGUCAGUUAAUUAUGUAGUGUAGAUAGUGGAAUCAACAAUGUAGAAAGGUUUGAGCUAUUAUAAGACUGGAAUCAUGAGAGAGCAAUUGUAAGAUCAGAUUCCUAAUUGAAAUUGGAAAAAAAAUGACCAUAUUUUUGUUUUUAUAA